rnacentral:rRNA from 1 species
UACGGAAGGCAGCAGUGGGGAAUAUUGCACAAUGGGCGCAAGCCUGAUGCAGCCAUGCCGCGUGUAUGAAGAAGGCCUUCGGGUUGUAAAGUACUUUCAGUCGUGAGGAAGGUGUUAAGGUUAAUAACCUUAGCAAUUGACGUUAGCGACAGAAGAAGCACCGGCUAACUCCGUGCCAGCAGCCGCGGUAAUACGGAGGGUGCGAGCGUUAAUCGGAAUUACUGGGCGUAAAGGGCACGCAGGCGGUUAAUUAAGUUGGAUGUGAAAUCCCCGGGCCUAACCUGGGAAUGGCAUUCAAGACUGGUUAGCUAGAGUCUUGUAGAGGGGGUAGAAUUCCAUGUGUAGCGGUGAAAUGCGUAGAGAUGUGGAGGAAUACCGGUGGCGAAGGCGGCCCCUGGGACAAAGACUGACGCUCAUGUGCGAAAGCGUGGGGAGCAAACAGGGAUUAGAUACC